rnacentral:rRNA from 1 species
GAUGAACGCUGGCGGCGUGCCUAAUACAUGCAAGUCGAGCGAACAGACGAGGAGCUUGCUCCUCUGACGUUAGCGGCGGACGGGUGAGUAACACGUGGAUAACCUACCUAUAAGACUGGGAUAACUUCGGGAAACCGGAGCUAAUACCGGAUAAUAUAUUGAACCGCAUGGUUCAAUAGUGAAAGACGGUUUUGCUGUCACUUAUAGAUGGAUCCGCGCCGCAUUAGCUAGUUGGUAAGGUAACGGCUUACCAAGGCAACGAUGCGUAGCCGACCUGAGAGGGUGAUCGGCCACACUGGAACUGAGACACGGUCCAGACUCCUACGGGAGGCAGCAGUAGGGAAUCUUCCGCAAUGGGCGAAAGCCUGACGGAGCAACGCCGCGUGAGGGAUGAAGGGCUUCGGAUCGUAAAACUCUGUUAUUAGGGAAGAACAAAUGUGUAAGUAACUAGGCACGUCUUGACGGUACCUAAUCAGAAAGCCACGGCUAACUACGUGC